CCUACGGGUGGCAGCAGUGGGGAAUAUUGCACAAUGGGGGAAACCCUGAUGCAGCGACGCCGCGUGAGUGAAGAAGUAUUUCGGUACGUAAAGCUCUAUCAGCAGGGAAGAAAAUGACGGUACCUGACUAAGAAGCCCCGGCUAACUACGUGCCAGCAGCCGCGGUAAUACGUAGGGGGCAAGCGUUAUCCGGAUGUACUGGGUGUAAAGGGAGCGUAGACGGCAGUGCAAGUCAGGAGUGAAAUCCCAUGGCUUAACCAUGGAACUGCUUUGGAAACUGGGCAGCUAGAGUGCAGGAGAGGUAAGCGGAAUUCCUAGUGUAGCGGUGAAAUGCGUAGAUAUUAGGAGGAACACCAGUGGCGAAGGCGGCUUACUGGACGAUAACUGACGUUGAGGCUCGAAAGCGUGGGGAGCAAACAGGAUUAGAUACCCGAGUAGUC
rnacentral:rRNA from 1 species